UACGUAGGGUCCGAGCGUUGUCCGGAAUUAUUGGGCGUAAAGAGCUCGUAGGCGGUGUGUCGCGUCGGCCGUGAAAACCUGCAGCUUAACUGUGGGCUUGCGGUCGAUACGGGCAUCACUGGAGUUCGGCAGGGGAGACUGGAAUUCCUGGUGUAGCGGUGAAAUGCGCAGAUAUCAGGAGGAACACCGGUGGCGAAGGCGGGUCUCUGGGCCGAUGACUGACGCUGAGGCACGAAAGCGUGGGGAGCAAACAGG
rnacentral:rRNA from 1 species